AUGCCUUUUGGACUCAAGAGCGCCCAGGUGACUUAUCAACGGUGUGUGCAGAAUUGCCUUCAUAAUCAGAUUGGGCGCAAUGUUCAUGCGUAUGUGGACGAUAUUGUGGUGAAGUCCAGGAAAGCAGAGACACUCAUAGCUGACUUGCAGGAGACUUUUGAUAAUUUGAGGGUUUAUAAGAUGAUGCUUAAUCCAGCUAAGUGUGUUUUUGGUGUACCAGCAGGCAAGCUCCUGGGUUUUCUGGUGUCUAACAGGGGCAUUGAAGCUAAUCCGGAAAAGAUCAAGGCUAUUACGUCCCUGGCUAAACCGGCAUGUAUCAAUGACGUUGAACGACUGGCGGGUCGUAUUGCAGCGCUAAGCCGGUUUAUCAGUCGGUUGGGGGAGAAGGCGAUCCCGCUUUAUCAGAUGAUGAAGAAGACAAACAAUUUUGUCUAG
rnacentral:rRNA from 1 species